rnacentral:rRNA from 1 species
UUUAUGGAGAGUUUGAUCCUGGCUCAGGAUGAACGCUGGCGGCGUGCCUAAUACAUGCAAGUCGAGCGAACGGACGAGAAGCUUGCUUCUCUGAUGUUAGCGGCGGACGGGUGAGUAACACGUGGAUAACCUACCUAUAAGACUGGGAUAACUUCGGGAAACCGUAGCUAAUACCGGAUAAUAUUUUGAACCGCAUGGUUCAAAAGUGAAAGACGGUCUUGCUGUCACUUAUAGAUGGAUCCGCGCUGCAUUAGCUAGUUGGUAAGGUAACGGCUUACCAAGGCAACGAUGCAUAGCCGACCUGAGAGGGUGAUCGGCCACACUGGAACUGAGACACGGUCCAGACUCCUACGGGAGGCAGCAGUAGGGAAUCUUCCGCAAUGGGCGAAAGCCUGACGGAGCAACGCCGCGUGAGUGAUGAAGGUCUUCGGAUCGUAAAACUCUGUUAUUAGGGAAGAACAUAUGUGUAAGUAACUGUGCACAUCUUGACGGUACCUAAUCAGAAAGCCACGGCUAACUACGUGCCAGCAGCCGCGGUAAUACGUAGGUGGCAAGCGUUAUCCGGAAUUAUUGGGCGUAAAGCGCGCGUAGGCGGUUUUUUAAGUCUGAUGUGAAAGCCCACGGCUCAACCGUGGAGGGUCAUUGGAAACUGGAAAACUUGAGUGCAGAAGAGGAAAGUGGAAUUCCAUGUGUAGCGGUGAAAUGCGCAGAGAUAUGGAGGAACACCAGUGGCGAAGGCGACUUUCUGGUCUGUAACUGACGCUGAUGUGCGAAAGCGUGGGGAUCAAACAGGAUUAGAUACCCUGGUAGUCCACGCCGUAAACGAUGAGUGCUAAGUGUUAGGGGGUUUCCGCCCCUUAGUGCUGCAGCUAACGCAUUAAGCACUCCGCCUGGGGAGUACGACCGCAAGGUUGAAACUCAAAGGAAUUGACGGGGACCCGCACAAGCGGUGGAGCAUGUGGUUUAAUUCGAAGCAACGCGAAGAACCUUACCAAAUCUUGACAUCCUUUGACAACUCUAGAGAUAGAGCCUUCCCCUUCGGGGGACAAAGUGACAGGUGGUGCAUGGUUGUCGUCAGCUCGUGUCGUGAGAUGUUGGGUUAAGUCCCGCAACGAGCGCAACCCUUAAGCUUAGUUGCCAUCAUUAAGUUGGGCACUCUAAGUUGACUGCCGGUGACAAACCGGAGGAAGGUGGGGAUGACGUCAAAUCAUCAUGCCCCUUAUGAUUUGGGCUACACACGUGCUACAAUGGACAAUACAAAGGGCAGCGAAACCGCGAGGUCAAGCAAAUCCCAUAAAGUUGUUCUCAGUUCGGAUUGUAGUCUGCAACUCGACUACAUGAAGCUGGAAUCGCUAGUAAUCGUAGAUCAGCAUGCUACGGUGAAUACGUUCCCGGGUCUUGUACACACCGCCCGUCACACCACGAGAGUUUGUAACACCCGAAGCCGGUGGAGUAACCUUUUAGGAGCUAGCCGUCGAAGGUGGGGCAAAUGAUUGGGGUGAAGUCGUAACAAGGUAGCCGUAUCGGAAGGUGCGGCUGGAUCACCUCCUUUCU